GACGAACGCUGGCGGCGUGCUUAACACAUGCAAGUCGAACGGAGUGGCGAACGGGUGAGUAAAACGUGGGUGACCUGCCCUGCACUUCGGGGUAAGCCAGGGAAACUGGGUCUAAUAACGGAUAGUGUGGGAUGGGCGCGCGGCCUAUCAGCUUGUUGGUGGGGUAAUGGCCUACCAAGGCGGCGACGGGUAGCCGGCCGGAGAGGUGGGACGGCCCCCUUGGUCCUGCGGCACGGCGCAGUGUCCAACGGUGGGCAGUAGUGGCGAGUAUUGCACAACCGUCGGACGCGUGAUGCAGCGACGCCGCGGGGGGGAUGUCGGCCUUCUGGUUGUAAACUCCUUUCACCAUCGACGCGGUAGAUGGAGAAGAAGCACCGGCUAACUACGUGCCAGCAGCCGCGGUAAUUC
rnacentral:rRNA from 1 species